GUCAUCUCCUGAAAGCUGCUUACUCUAGCAGGCCCCCUCUGUUCUGAGGCUGACAUUCCUUCUUUGCUCAUUUCUCUCUGCUUUUGUCUAAUGAGGCGCAGGAGGCUGCUGAAACUGACGAUAGAAUUACCCUGGACUCUAGAUUCUGUCAAUCUCCAUUAGGAGCCCAGGGAGAGAACAGUCAAAGCACCGGGACACCUUGGUGCUGUUAUUGUAAUGGGGUUCAUUGCGAGAGCAAACAAAACAACAUCCCCCCGAGAUGCUCACCCUGGGCUGAUGAGUCACUCUGGCUUCCAGUCCAGGCUGCAGCAUCCACCUCACCCCACCACUCCAAGGAGCCAGAGCCCCAGGAAGUCACGCACCUCACUGCUGCGGGUAGUUGGUUAGUGGGACUUGCAGCGGAGAAUUCUGACUCAUGGUAGCCCGAAGAUGAAGGCUAAGGAAGGAGGUCAUUUGAAGCAUAUUGCAUGGCCCAGGAUCUUUAGUCUGCCCUGAAGGACUGUGGAUUCCAAACAGCAGAAGAUGGUUCCACUAAAGACUGCUUCAAGGGAGGGUCUGGGAGAGGAGUGAAUGGGAAGAUGCCCCUAAACACCUGGAGGUGAUUCAGCCUCACCCUCCCCCAACAUCUGGCACCUACCUCGCCUUCCCAAGC
rnacentral:lncRNA from 1 species